GACGAACGCUGGCGGCGUGCCUAAUACAUGCAAGUAGAACGCUGAAGGAGGAGCUUGCUUCUCUGGAUGAGUUGCGAACGGGUGAGUAACGCGUAGGUAACCUGCCUGGUAGCGGGGGAUAACUAUUGGAAACGAUAGCUAAUACCGCAUAAUAGCAGUUGUUGCAUGACAACUGUUUGAAAGGUGCAAUUGCACCACUACCAGAUGGACCUGCGUUGUAUUAGCUAGUUGGUGGGGUAACGGCUCACCAAGGCGACGAUACAUAGCCGACCUGAGAGGGGGGUCGGGCACACUUGGGAUGGGGAACCGGCCCGACUCCCUCGGGGAGGAGGCGUUAGGGAAUCUUGGGAAAUGGCGGGAAGUCUGACCGGGAAAGGCGCGGGGGGUGAAGAAGGUUUUCGGAUCGAAAAGCCCUGUUGAAGGGGAAGACGGGGGGUGGGGGUGAAAGGUUCACAUGGUGACGGUACCUAACAAGAAAGGGACGGCUAACUACGUG
rnacentral:rRNA from 1 species